AUGGCGCCGCGGCAAACCUCCAACCCAGCACCACCACCGGAGCCGCCGACCCUUUGAGUCCAAGAUGGGCUGCUCCAGGAAAUAUUCCUCCGCCUCCCCGCCGCCGCCGACCUCGCCCGCGCCUCCACCGCUUGCGCCUCCUUCCCCAAUCCCUUUAUCUCGGCCUAGCCGCCGCACCCCUCUGCCGUCCCAUCCCGCGCCUUCGCCGGCUUCGACUUCUCCUGCUCCUCCUUACUCCCCUCCACCGCCGGCCGCUCCUGGAGUGAAAUUGACUUCUCUGACAGACGGGCCCUCCUUGCGGGCGCCCCGGUCAAAGAGGAAGCCGGCAGCCACUUCCUCGUGGGCGCUGAGCUGUGUGACUCACAGUACAGCCAAUUUUUGGUCAGGGACCUCACCGUGUGCGACCCCGUGCACCGUCGCUACAUCAUGCUACCUUCCGUCCCCGACCACCUGAAAGCUCUGGUCCGUAGACCGGACCUCCUCAGGCUGGAGAGUUUCCUUGCUCCCGGCGAGGAUAAGGCGAACCCUUUAUCAUUCAAAGUGGUGUGCUUGGCACAAUGCAGAAUAAAUCUGCUGAUGAUGGUCUUCUCCUCUUUGGAUGGACAAUGGCACAUUCUUACUUAUGAUCAAUGGAGUGCUCAGGCCAUUGUUGGCUCAUUUGAGAACUCUGAGCCUUGGUUGUCCUAUCGUCGGAACGUCCACAGAUGCUUCUGUUGGCGUUUGCAUUUCAUGAACAAGUUGCUUCUCCUUGACACACACACCAUGGAGUUCUUUGUUGUCAACCUCCCACUUGAACAACCACCGAACCGCAAUUAUGUCAUCGUCGAGGCAUUGGACGGAAUGCUCGGGAUGCUCACUAAAUGCUAUGAUGAGUAAAAAGAAGAUGACCGAUGUUGGCUGACGUACUCAAUUCUAAGAAAUGACCAAUGGUACUUGGACAAGGUCAUCCUCACUACAAAAAAAAAAGACACAUCCGUGACAUUUUGGGCCGAACGAAUUUUUUUUCUGUCAUACAUAUGA
rnacentral:rRNA from 1 species